UAGGGCUAACUUCCACCCUACUAAAUUUAAUUCAAUUUAAUUUAACGUGUCUAAAACGGAGUUCCUGAGGUGUCUCCUCUGCUGUUGUGACUCCGAGCAAUCCGUGCGCAUGAAAAUGAAAUCAGCCAAAAUUUCCGCUCCUAAAUCAACAGAAGACUACCACUACUAUUUAGCAUUUGUUUGAUCCAUAUGUUACUUAUCUCAACUGUCGACUGGUAUCCCGAUACUAACUAUCCACCCACCUUGAUUUGAUAUUUGCUUUCCCCUUUUUGCGGUCAUGAGCCCCUCUCCCUGUGUAAGUGCACCGGGUGCAUCAUUGUGAAAAAGAAAAGUAGAAAUACACUGGGUCUGAACCUUCAUCAUAGUGACAAGAUACUUUAAAACUCCGGCUCCGUUGAAUUAGUAGCUUUCUGAGAUCUUUUUAAAAUAUUUUACUGCAGUCACGUAUAUAAAAAAAUUUUCUUACAUAUAUUUUUAAAGAGAUUUUUAUAAUAUAUCUUGUAAUACUUUUUAAAAUAUUUUUUAAAAAUUAAUAUUACCAUUCAUAACCACCCCUACCGCAAACUAUUCCCCUCUUCCUCCUCCCCCUUGAUCUAGUCGCGGUUAAAUCGCGACCAAAAAGUAUCAAACCUUCUGGUCGCGCGAUCUAGCCAUGACUAGAUCAUAGCCUCUAGUCGCGACUAAAUCGAGAGAGGGAGGUGAGGACCAGAGGGUGGCGGGGGAGGAGAGUGGAGGAAGUAUAGAGAAGGGGAAAAAGGGAGGAGGAAGGGGGUGGUGACGGUGGUGGGUGAUGGCGGUAACAGAUGAGGGUGGUGGUAGUGACGGUGAUGGAUGAAAAAUAUUGUAGAAUUUAUUUUUUAAAUUUUUUGUGUAUAUUUAUGAGUUGUUUUUGAUAUAUUAUAUGGAUGUGAUAUUUUUUAAGUUAUUUUUAUUUAUAUAUAUAUAUAUUACUGUGAUAUUAUAUUUGAAAAAUUUAUUUGUGAAAAUUAGGGCAAUCGAACCGGAGCAUUAGUUAUUGUGCACGGAUUACCUGAAACUCAGGGAUGGU
rnacentral:lncRNA from 1 species